CCUACGGGAGGCAGCAGUCGAGAAUCAUUCACAAUGGGGGAAACCCUGAUGGUGCGACGCCGCGUGGGGGAAUGAAGGUCUUCGGAUUGUAAACCCCUGUCAUGUGGGAGCAAAUUAAAAAGAUAGUACCCCAAGAGGAAGAGACGGCUAACUCUGUGCCAGCAGCCGCGGUAAUACGGAGGUCGCAAGCGUUGUUCGGAAUCACUGGGCGUAAAGCGUGCGUAGGCUGUUUCGUAAGUCGUGUGUGAAAGGCGCGGGCUCAACCCGCGGACGGCACAUGAUACUGCGAGACUAGAGUAAUGGAGGGGGAACCGGAAUUCUCGGUGUAGCAGUGAAAUGCGUAGAUAUCGAGAGGAACACUCGUGGCGAAGGCGGGUUCCUGGACAUUAACUGACGCUGAGGCACGAAGGCCAGGGGAGCGAAAGGGAUUAGAUACCCCAGUAGUC
rnacentral:rRNA from 1 species